CAACAGACAGCAGCAGUGAAUCACUUCCAGCAGUCUCUUGCCAGCGUAGUGCUGUGUAUUUCGGAGGUGGGGGUGCGCGCGGCCCCACACAUCCUCGUGGUGCUGGGCAGUGCUGAGCAGCUUGGCGUUGCCCAAAUGAGGCCCCCAGCCCACAGGGAGCCCAGCAAAGGAGGUGAAGCUCAGCUGCUACCACUCAGCGCGUCCUGCACAGAAGAGAAGAGGAAAGGGACUGAAAGAAGUAAUCUCAGCAUCAGGGUCAUGAUUGACAGUUUAGAGAAGGAACUUCAUCUUUGUUGACCCGGACUUUUUGUAAUGAUCUGUGAGAGCAGAGUGAGCCCGUUUCAUGCUGGUGCUGCUAUAAAACAGUAGUGCAGGAUGAAAGGCACCGACCAGAAAUUCUCUCCGUCUUUCCACUGGCAGCAUUUUCCUGUCUGUUUUAGCGAGGCAUACGUGACUGCAAAGCAAUGGAAAAAAGUGACUUUACACCACAUCGUUGUAAAUAUCCCCUGUCUCUGCUCAGGAAGUGGAAGGGAGGAGAGGGGAAGGAUUUUUUAAUUUGUCUUAUUUUUUUUCCCCAAGAGCCCGAAAGAUCAGUGUUUUGUGCUGUUUAUAUCUAACCUGACACAUUUUCUCACCAUCUCUUAGUUACUUUAGCUUUUACUCUCUGAUUUUGCAUACUUUAUGUCUACCAACCAGGAGAAAACUUGCAGCUACUUUCAAUAGUCGCUUUACUGUCGUUUUUUUCUAUUUGGAAAGUGAAAGCUACAUGUUGCGAUAGUAUUUCUUUAUGAACGUGUAGCUAGCAUAAACACUAGUUUGACCAUUAAAUUGGUGUUUAGUGUGCUAAAUAAUUUAAUCUUUAGCUUUUCAUGUAUCUUAUAAUUAACGUUCUCAGUGUUUUCAUAUUCUGUUACUUGUGAGUCUCAAGAUAACCAAACAAUAACAGCAAAAUUCAUGUGUGUAAGAGGUGGUGGGGUAGAGGUCUUAGUGGUUUCUGCAUAGCGAUUUGGCAGUCUUCAGUAUAACAAUAGAGGGAUUUUUCUCUUUGCUAACUCUGAACUUCCAUUUCAAAGGUGGGAAUCAGUCACUAAUACCUUCCAGUCCUGUUUCUGUGGGCUUUUCCUGCUUAAGGUACACUGUUGGAUGUUGUUGGAGUGGAGCUGGGGUUGCUGGGUGCUUCUGAAAAGUAGGUCACUUAUUCCCCAUUUAAAAAAUAAAAAGGCAGCAGAAAAAGUUUGUGUAUAACGUCAAUCUCAGGAAAAAUCUGUACAAUUUCAGAUAAUGUCACUGCUGUUUAUAUUCUUCAAAUCCUAGGAGAGAAGUACCAUUGGGGUAGGCACUCCUGGCUCUCCUUCUGCUUGCAGCACACUGCUGUGCUGGCCUCCUACGUAACGCUCCUGUGCAUCGGUUUCAUGCUCCGUGUACGUUAGCACCAAUCCAUGGAAAAUGGUUUGUCCUUGUGGCAGAAAGCGUUCUCGAGAGGCUCUUCACUGCCUAGGCCUUCACACUUUUGCUUUGACAAUAUCUCUUCUCACGCUGUCAUGUUUUCAAGUCCUUCUUGGCUUUAAGACUCUCAUGUAAGGAGUGUGGAACUGAAAUAAAUGUGAUGCGCCAAACUGUUCUCAGCUUGAUCAGUCGCAGUCCUGGUCUCGCAAGUACAGUUUGUCUAAGAAUGGCCUUUUUUGUCUCCCUGGGUAAAUAAAUGAUGCACCUUUCUCCAAAGUUUUUACAAGGUUGGGUAUGUCCACACACCGUUUCAUAAACAUAUUGUCCAGCUGCACUCUCUGGGAGCAGAAGAAGGCCACUGGCACACUGUCUCCUGCAGUGAAGUGCCCUGGAUGCAGAGAAGCAGGAAGAGGGAUUCGAAGACUCUUUUACAAAGGUACCAACCAUUCUGGCACUCAUGGGGCUGGGUGACUUCCCACUGCACUUUCCUUGCGGCUGUGUUGAAAUGCCAAAGUCUAGCCCACAUGAUUUUGCUUGGAAAUCUGAACCUCCAGGCGUGAAUAACUUACUGGAAUUAAUCUCCAACCGUUGUCAUCCAGUAUUCAAAUAUUAAUGUAGUUGAUCUGAGUGAGGCAGUGCAACCACGGUGGUCUUGCAAAAUAGUGCAUCACAGAAGCACGAUUCCUAACAUGAAUUAGUGUUUGUUGUUCUGUAAAAAGCAUUCUGCUAUUUUCCUUCAAACUGCUAGGCUAAAUGGCUUGUGCAAGUCCAGCUCCUAUGCAGCAAACAGUAGAUUCUCCUCUCUUGGAUUGCAAAUUUUAAGAAGGAGCAGCUGAAGGGACAAGGGGUGGCAGCAACUCAAGAAGUCCUUCUUGAGGCAACCAAACUUUGGAAGGGCUGAAGACUAAGCAAGGACUGUCUUUCCCUUUGUCAGGAAUGCAACCAGUAUAGCACUGGGAAGGAAAUGGAGCCAAGGUCAGAAUUAAUUGAUUCUUCCAGGAAACAAAUAUCCUGGUAGUUCUCAGAGCGGUGAGUGAAGCAGGAUCAUGUUUCUAGACAUGCCAGAUUUGCUUUGUGCUUCGAACUGGAAAGCUUUAUGAAACUUCAUAAACUAUGAAAGCCAUCAGGACUUUUUUGGCUUUUUUUACUGAAGGGCAAGUAUCACCAUGAACAAAAUAAUCCUGGGUGUGGACUUUCUGUUCAAAUACAAAUGGCCUGUGCUGCAGGAGUUGAUGUACUACUCUUCAGCUCACCUUCUGGUUUGCAUGGGGACCUGUAGCCUGUUUUUCUCAUCAGUAAUGAUGCUUAAAGCUUUUAUUUAGCAUAUUCUUUUCUUUUUUUAUAAUUAUAAUGAUGAUAUUAUUAUUCUUUUAUAAUUUAUAAUACUAUAGUAUUAAUAAUAAUAUUAUUAUUAUUUUUAAAGUAACUGAGGGGUAGUGCUGUGCAAAACUUGAAAUUAGUAUUUCUUAAAUAAAGUCAUAAGCAAAUCCUGGAGCAAGCACUUGUUCCUGUGAAGGAAUGCUGUCCUAAGACAGUGUGGACGUUCAAAUCAGCUUUUGCUAUAAUGUGCAAAUGAUGAUCUUGUAUGAUAAUAGGAUGAACAAAUAUCUUUGGGAAGAAGCUGUACUGUUAAAUAUGGCCAUAACUAUUCUUCAAACAUGUAAAAUAUCCCUUUCCCAUCUCCUCCACAGUGCAAGGACUUUGUGAGAUGAUAACAUAUGCACAUUUACCAUAAUGUGAAAGGCCACAGCAUUUCCUCACUGUCUUUGAGUGUAUUAAUCCAGGCUGAGACACCUAAGAGAUGCGUCCAACUGUAGAUAACCACAUCUCAUCUUUUAAAAUAGUGCUUUAUGAAUGGAUCAGGGGCUGUGAGAGGCUCUGGGGGAGAAGUUGUUCCCUGAUAACUCACUUUUUAUGAAAAAACAGAUUGAUGAUAUGGAGUGAAUUGCAUCCAUGGAAUUAUGGAGUCAGUGCACAGACUGCAGUUCUUCCUGUCCACUGGCCACGGCCAUUUGAGUUAAUAGAGUAACAAGGGCCGCCAAGCAUCCUCCCUGCAGACUGGCAAGAAGAAGCAUCAAUCUGCCUUACAAUUCACUUCACAGGUAUUUGUCAGAGUUCUCAGUUUUUGGCUCAGCCAUAUGAAGUCUCCUGAUCCUGGAUUUUCUUCCGAUUCUUCUGGUAUUCUCUGUCACAUCAGUUUGUUCCCACUGAACCUCAGUACUGAGCUGCUUUCCAGACAUACCUCGGCCAACUGGUACCCAUUCAGCAUAGUCCUGUGUUUCUUCUGCAUUCAGGACCAUUAGAGCUGUGACUCUGGUUUUUCUAAAAUGUAUCGGCUCUUUACCAUGUUUUUCUUUGCCAAAUUUCAGUACCAGACCUGUGAAUGAUCCCAGACAGCCCAAUUCUCACAUCCCAUUCCUCACCCGUUCCUAUUCCAGCCUCUCCAGGUCAGACUCUAGGGCCCUAGGGAGACAUUUUUCCACUUACGUAGUCUGCGUGUAUUUCUUCCUAAUCUUUGCAAGCCCAAAAUUUGACUCUUCUACAUUUAGUGCUGGUAACUUGUCCACAUUCUCAAUACAAGCAGGAGAUGUUGGCUGGGAAAACACUGAAGAGGAAAAGAGUAUCCAUGCUUUUGUUUGAGAACUGCUGAAUUCGCAGUUCCAAGGAAAAUCCCACUCAGUCUCAGGCUGAAGCAAACCUGCUGGGGAAGGAUCCUUCAGAGAAUAGUGGGAGUUGCCUCAAUGGCUUUUUGGUUAAGCUAGUUAAAAAUCAAAGACAUCUCUACUGACAGUUUUUGAUGUGGACUUUUUCUUUGCUGUUUCAUUUGAGGACAAGUUGUCCAAAUUCAAGCAGGUUUCUGUUUAGAUACUUCCUUGAACAAAGAGCAGAUUUUAAUGUGUCAUAUUUAGCAUCGGAUUUGCAGGGUUAUUGGCAACUGAAACUGGAUUUUUACAUGGAGAAGUAUCAGGUAACUUUGAUAACUAGCAAAGCUGUGCCCCGCAGUCCUCCAAGCUGACAGCCCCCUCCCUCCCUUCCAUUCCUUUUCUUGCUGCUUUAUUUAGUUCAAAGUUUCUUAUGACUGAGCCAGUUCCUGCUCCCAGUAACAAACUUCUUGCUGGCUUUCGAAUAAACAAGUUCAUUGCUUGAGAAAAUAGGAGCACAUGGGAUGGAUCACUGGAGGGGUCACAGAGCCCAGCUGGCUGAGACCACUGCUGGAUGUUAUGCGGCUGAAGCACACAGAACGGUGUUGGGAGUGCAGUUCUGAUUUGUUUUAAGCAUCAUCUCCUUUUAAAUAGUCUGCCUUUUUGUUUUCUUUGAGAAGAAAACUAUUGCUGGAGGUGUUGUAAUCAGGAGGAAGAUAAGUUGUUUGAUGCAGCACACGGCACAAAGCUUGGAGUAAUGAAGGAAUGGGUAUGUUUCGGGUCAGCGUAAGUUCAGGCAGUGAGGUCUAAAUAGCUGCUGGAAUGGUACAAUUUAUCAUUUCAUGAGAGAGAAGGUUCUGGUUGCUAGACCAGUUUAUCUAUGAUCUAUGUACCUUUUGAAAUCACACUGCUUUAUUUACCUUAGCAGAGUAGAGAUUUAGAUAUAAUCUUAAAUAUUUUUUUAGUACACUGAGCGUUUGGGAGUGACCAGAUAUUGUUACAGUAUUAUCUUGAAGUGUGAAGGUGUGGAAACCCUGUAAAACAAGGUAAAAUAUCUGAGUCUGAAGUCAUAACUAUGUAUAAUCCUUACCUGUCAUUGACUAUUUCCUUGUGCUGUUGGAGUAGAAUAUAAUCAUAUAGCGUUCUUUCUUUGAGGUAAGUUUUUUUUUUUUUAAGCUAAUAUGAAUUCUCCUACAUUUGCCAUAGGCAAUAUAUGUGUGUGUGUAUGUAUAUAUAUAUAUAUGUGUGUGUAUAUAUACGCACACACGUGGCUGGUUGAUGUGAAUCAACAGAUGUGCAACAACUGGUCUGCUUGUCUAAGCUUUUACUACAGUCACGUCUCGUCAUAUCAGUGACUACUGGCAAUUCUAAUACGUAGUUUUUGGAUUAAAAGAGUUCAAGGUUGUAAUUUAUGGAAUGUCCAAAAUUACUAUGAAUUGGUAUACUUCCAGGAUGCAGACUGGGAAAGCUUUUUCACAGAUAUAACUACGUGUGUAAGUAUGUAUUUGUCUGCAAAGAAAGAGGCAGAAAAGUGGAGCUGUUGACAUUAGACUCUAGGCUGCUUUUUGACCAUGGUUUGUGCUGCACAAAGUCUUCACGAGGUAAAAACAGAAGUACUUUUCCUAUAGCGUUUACCAGCAGAGAAAUUAAAGAGAGAGGCAACUGGAGGGGUGUGAUUAUUAAUGCAGAAUAAAGGAUGAUUUAAACUCGGAAUGGUUAAGAGAAUAUAUUUGCUUGAAAAGGAAAUAGAAGAAGAAAGUGGUGCAGAGCAGAUCAGAGUUAGAGUUGCACAGCUGCAGAAACAGUUGAAUGAAAGGCUAGAAAAGUGCCACAGGCAGUGUUUCUGGGGUUUGGACUUGUUUUUAAAAUGCGCUUUCAAAGCAAGCUUUUAGCAAUGUCAGAGGAUUAUCUUUUUGUUGCCAUUUGUAUGCACCAUUCAACUGCAGCUUCCCAUAUGUGCUGGAAUGGGUGGCAGAGAGGAGAUCCCUACAGCAAUCGAAAAGAGAGGAGACGGGAGACCUGGAUGGCUAUUAUGGCUGAGAAGAAAGAAAGCAUAUCUACGCAUCUGGGAAGUAUUUCAAAUGAGAGAAAAACUCUCCCCUCUGAGUCAGUAUCUGCCCUAUGUCAAAGCAGAUUUCCGACUUGAAGCCUUGAGGCUAGAAAAGGAGAGGUGAUGUGCCGGUAUGCAACUGUGGGUGCUUCUCUGAGAAAUUUAUAGCUAAAAAGCUUAGGAGUGUACCAGUUUAUUUAGUAAAAAAAAGACAUGAGUAAGGAGGGAGGAGACAGAAUUUUUCAGAAAGUCCAUAAUUUUGAUUACUGAAUGCCUGCCCUGAAAUUCUACCCUGAGCAAUAUUUUGUAUUGGAUAAUGAAGUGUGUCAAAGUUUUUAGGGGAGAAAAGAUAUUCCUACACUACUGUAAAAGGUAAAUCAGUAAAAAUACACUAUAUAGCAGAAUUUCUAAGUUAAAUCAAUAACCCUACACACUAAAGUAGUGCUUUGUAAGCUAAAACUGCUCUACACAUCAUACUAAUCCUCUGAGAGUGUAGAGGGUUUAGGAGAUUGGUUAUACCAUCUGCAAUAUCAGUAAAAUACAGUAUUAGGUUACAUAUGCCUACUAAGGCAGGCGUCAGUAAAUAAGUAUGUGAUAUUAAAAAUUUGACACUUCUAAGUUGGGCUUUGAUAGUGGAACAUGCGUAUUGGCAUGUUGCAUUUACCUUUCUGUGUAUGUGAUCUGAGUGAAAAUCAGCCCCCUGGCAGAGCCAGCAGGCCUCUUCGUGCAUUUGCUGGUGUGCGGAUCAACCUCUAAGAUUAACGCUGUAAUAGGAACAGGAGUUGGAGGGCUGACAUUAGUUUCCAGAGGUCUCUAGAGUGACUUAUCUAUAGCUAGAGAGGCUGCAUUUGCCAUUAAUUUUUAAAUGGUGAAUGAGCUUGGCUGAAUCCACUCUCUGAUCCCUGCUGCACUGUGUCCUGGGGAAGCAACAUGUGCUGCAGGAGAUGCAGUCCCAGGCAGGCUGGCAAGGGGUUGGCUGCUCUCUUCCCAAAAGCUUUGUUUCCUAGAAAAGGGAAGAUUGGGGUUUCCACCUGUGCCCAGGGGAAAUCUAGAGAGCGUGUGAAAUGAGUAAGAGCAUCCUUUACCUGUGCUGUUGACCAUUCACCGGCAUAAUCUCCUGGGAAGUGAAAGUACCAACUACUUCUGCGCUAUAAGGUUAAGAUGCAUAGAGCUCUGCUGGAGAAGCAGAAUCAAAAUCUUACAGAGAUGUAUUGUGUUCAAAUUUUAUCUUUUUUUUUUCUCGACAAUUCUGACUAUAUAGCUGAUGAGCAAUUCUUUCCUGCUCCUAAUGCAGUACGUUGGUAAAUGGCACUGCAGAGCCUGAGCAGAUACCACUCCAUCCACUGCGCUGCGAGCACCAUGCAGCUCUGGGCUGACAUGGAGAUCUCUGGGACAUGGGUGCACGCUUAAAGUGGUGGAGAUCCUGCUCCUAAAGCAGCUCCUCUGUUGUAGCACAGCCAUUGCCCCUUGUGUUGGCCCAGCCAUAAUGGGGUUGUGCUUGGCUGGGGUAGGAUUGCUGUCGGUGACUGCCGUGCUGUUGUGUUGUAUUUUGCCACACCUGGGUGUUGCAUUUGCUGAUUCAGAGUAGCCAGCUUUAUCCAAAUAAUUAGGAAUGAAAUUCUCAUGAUGGAAUAAGAAUUGUCUUCUUUAUUACUCUCAGAGGUACUCACUGGAUCUAAGUCCCCUGAAAGGUCAUUGGCAUUAUAUUUGAGCCAGAUAUUUUUGUUUAGAAAAUUCGACUUAUUCAUCUGCUGUAGUAUUUAGAAAUCAGACUUGAUGUUUUCACUUUUCCUAUGAGCUUCUAUAGCCUACAUUUGCUGAGCUCGGUCUGGGAACAUAUGCUUUGCAUUCCUUUUUAUUUGGUGGGCCUCAGAGUCUAAAUUGGGACUUUUGCGCUGCGCUUGAACAGUGGGAAACCAUAUGUGGCAUUGUGUUGUUUGAAUGACAUUCAAAACCAGAGGGUUUGUGUAAACUUGUCAUUUAAAAUAUAGUCCAGCUAGUGAAAGAACAGGAACCAUUGUUCAACCUGCACAGGAGCGCACUCUGCUGUGUCAUGUACAAGCAGGAGGAAACUGGGAGAAAAGCACUGUAGCUUUUCUGAUACAAGCAAGGACAGGAAUAAAGCCUUUGCAGAUGGACUGUACGGAAAAACUCUGCAGAGACGGUGUCUCCUGCUCCAUACCCUGGGUUAACUGUGCAAGCAGGAAUCGAGCAUUAGCAGCCCACAACCAGUGAUAAUCCCAGGGGACGCGUCUGGGCCCUGCUGUUUAGUGGGAGAUUAAAGAUUAAAGAGAAUGGGAUGGGGAAAAGACCUCUUGAAAGGCACAAGAAGCAUUCCACUCAGAGUGGGUGGGUCCUGCAGCUGGGGAGGAGUUAUCUGAGGGUAUAGAUAUGGGUGCUGGUGUUUUAAGAAGUUUGGUAUGUGUAAGACAAGGGUUGUUUUGGAGAAAGAUUGGCCAGUGGCAAAGAUUCUUACACUUCACAAUAGUUGUGAAAUUGGUAUAAUCAAAGUUCUUUACUUUUUUUAUUUCUUAUUAAUUAAUUUUUUUUAAUGCAUACCUCCUCAAAAACUUUGGGCAAGCUCCUUACCUGGAUUAGUAAUCACUUCAGUUUGGAAACCACCUUUCCUGAAGGGGUAGAGUGACCUGAGAUUUCUCUAUCCAGAGAUAGAGAUAUGCUGCUCAGCCUGCUCCUGAAAGAGAUGGAGAAAAACACAGAGAAGCCUCCUAGCGCUUCCUCAUCAGGGAGGGUAACCAAGGUGAAGAUGUAGUGGAUGCCUCACAAUGCAUAUUGAUGCAGGGUGACCCAGCAGCUGCAGUUCAGUGUUGGUGAAUGUAGUAUAGUGCAGAGUAGGAGAAGAUCCUAAACCAAAAUCCGCAGUGAUGGAACCUAAGUUAUCACUUGGGAAGAAAGCUUGGGUUACAGCAACUGUACAAAAAGGUAUGGUGAAUGUGCAGGAGGAAUAAGGGAAAAUAAAAAAGAACUGCUGAAUGGGAAGGUACUCAUGAACAAAAUUGAAAUCUCUUUACACUACAGUAUAAAUGCAUGUUGCUCUUGAAUAUUGCAUCUUUACUCCUUCAUCUCACAGGGAUGCUGGAGAUGCAGAGAAAAUACAGAAAAUGUUGAUAAAAGAUGAGGGUGUCUCCUGUAUGGAAAGCAGCUGAACACUUGGGGAAUGUCAACCUCCUGUAUGAGCAGGAAGAAAACGAAGGGCUGUAAACUCUCAAGUGGCAAGGAGAAAGCAAAUGGAAAACGGCUAUUCACUUUCCUAUACCGUGGGAUCCAGGCAGCCUCAGGUGGAUGGUUAGGUGACAAGUUUAAAACAGGUGACAAGUUUGAAACAAGAAAAAUGGUCUUCCUAUAGCUGUGAAAUUGCCCUGGGAUAUUGUAGAUGCCAAAAGUUCACGUGCUGACAAUGGUGUUUGGACAUAUUCCUUAAAGAACACUCUCUUGGUGACAAUUGUGUACAAAAAUGAAGAGAUUGCUGGGAGCUGGGAAGGCCCAGGGGUUGGGACUCUGUUGGCUCUUAUCAGAGAAAGAAACAGUGUACAUUAUGAGUGUAGACAGGGCAGCUGACUUCCUCAGCCUCUGUGUCUGUCCUGUUUGGCUGUUCCUGUGUAAUUACGCUCAUCUUGUGCUAAGUAUUGCAUAUGUGUAUUAACAAAGAAGCAGUUGCUUCCCUUAAAAAUCAGUCUGAGUUUUUGUGAAAAGAAUUCAGAGAGUGCCCUUGCAGAAGAGAGAGGCAGAAGAAUUUUAACCAAAAGACUGAGGUGAAAGAAAAUGUAUACUGGGUGAACUCCUGAUUUGCAAAGGUAUUCUGAUACUCUCAGAGGGUCUUUUUGUAUGAAUGCCUACACAAGGUAUGUUAGCAUUCCACCAACAUGUGAAUAACAGUGAUGUUGAAGUCUGGCAAUAAUCUCUGAAUGGUGAUCGUCUUUGUAUCCAGGCACUUGCUGCAGCAGCUGACCUGAAUAAAACCUGUGUAUUGAAACACCUGAUUUUCUUUUCAUUGAGGGUACUGUAAUAUGUGCAGUGUAUGUGCUUAAUACGUUGCUUUCUAGUUGGCUCCCCAUGUAAUGUUGGAUUGCAACAGGCUGCUCUGUGUCACACCUGAUGACUAAACCUGUCUCACCCACACCACGGGAAAGUGCUGGUGCACUGAGAUUUCUUAGAAUCAAGCUUUAGGUUGUCCUCAGAUUUCAAAUCUCCUGUGCACUUUUUAUUUUUUUUUUUAAUGUGGCCUCUAACUCAAGAGAUACAAGCACAAAAGGAUUCCAGGCAACAAUUAAUCAGAUAAGUAUUUAUUUAUUUAACUCAACCUAUCGAAUUAUGCUGGCAUUAGUUUCUUCAGAGUUAAAGCUUCACUGAGCAAAAGGCAAUCUUUUAAAGACUGUUUUCUUUUUUUCAGGCAUCUACACUGAAACUGUCUGGAUUUCAUUGGGCAUGGUGCCUGGUGGUGGCUGAAAUCUUCUGAAAUACAUUCUAGAGGAGGCAGCAGACCUGUGGCUAUGGCUCCUUUGCGCAUAAAUGUUAUUGUGUGUUUGUUUGACCAUGGUAGGAUAUUUAAUGUGUCAUAGAAACACAUUUUGUAUGCUCAGACUCAGUGUCAGUACCACCACAGAACUUUUCAGCCAAAUGUAUUUUCCCUCAUUUGACCCUUAAAAAAAAAAAAAAAAAAAAAGAAAGAAAAAGAAAAAAGAAAAAAGAAAAAAAAAAAAAAGCACAACCCCAGACUUUGAGAAAAUGUAAUUUCCUGUGAAAAAUGUACCCUACUGUCUUCUUCUGGGGGAAAAGGGAACUUUGUUAUAUCCAUUGUUGUAAGUGAAAUCCAGUGUACAGCAUGCUAAGUAAUUGCUCAGUUAAAUGUCAGUGUGAAUCCAGAAAUCCUCAGUAGAGUAAAAAAUAAAAAUAUUUAUUUUCUCUAAAA